AAAGUUUGUUUUUCUACUACAAAAUCUCUUUGAUAUCAACCAAAAUUAUGUAAACCUAAUUAACAAUAGGUGAUAUGGCGAACCAAAAAUAAAUUUGUAGUUCACAAUCAUCUGCCCUUAUCCCUAUGGAGGUCGGCACAAUGACAGCAGCGUUCGCUUUUUCUUCGGAUCUAGGAGUGACGUACAGUAACCACGCGUUUAGUUUGCAGUACAAUUACCCGAAUAUAAGUUCGAAAUCGAAAGUUAGUCCCGAGCCGAGCAGCAAGAAACCUGGAAAACCUUAAACUUGGUCUUUGAAGAUAUUCCCGUAUGAAGUCGAUG